ensembl:lncRNA
GGCAAACUUGAUGGUGUCACUCCCUUGGUUAAAACCAAGCAUUAAUUCCUCUUAACAUGCAAGAUGAAAUCCACAGUCAUCUUGGGGUACCCAAGGGCCUUCAUGGUGUGUCCCUACCCCCUUCUCCAGCCUCAUUUCUGCUGCUCUCUAGCCUUGCCAGACACUCCUGAACUGAUAACUAGGGCUGUGCCUCUGUCCCUUCGUAAUCUUUUCUUGCUACCCUGAAAGCCUUCCCACCUUUUUCUCCUUCUACAGAGCAGCAUCUCUAGAGUGUCAUCUCCCCCAAGAGGCCUUCCCUACAGCCUCCCCCACCCACAGCUGGUUUUGAUGCUCUUACUCUAUGCGUCCAUGGCACUUUAUUCUCACCUCUGUCACAGCACUUACCACUCUGAAUUGUAAUAGUGCUUUUGCUUGUCUGUCUUCCCAGACUUGACUUUGAACUCAACAACAGGGACCUAGUUAAAUGCACAGAGGAGCCUGGCAGGCCACUGUUAGGGGGUCGAAAAAGUCAAGAAACUGACCGAGCACAACAACAACACAUCACUAAUACCUGGUGUGGUUCCCGGCACAUAGUGGGUCUGAAAAGCAGUGCCUGCAAUGGGACAACCCAACUGGAAGGUUGCGCAGGGCAGAAAAAUAUAGAAAGUGAAUCUAGAGGGGCAAAGAGAAUAUCCAUCACAUCAUAGAAAGACUCAGGUGGGGACUUACAACAUCUAUCCUGUGAAUUCCUGAGCCUUUUGUCUUGGACUAAAUUAUAGUACCAGCUUCCCAGGACUUCCAGCUUG